UACGUAGGUGGCAAGGCGUUGUCCGGAUUUAUUGGGUUUAAAGGGUGCGUAGGCGGCUUUGUAAGUCAGUGGUGAAAUAUGGCAGCUCAACUGUCAAGGUGCCAUUGAUACUGCGGAGCUUGAGUACAGAUGAGGUAGGCGGAAUUGACGGUGUAGCGGUGAAAUGCUUAGAUAUCGUCAAGAACACCUAUAGCGAAGGCAGCUUACUAGGCUGUAACUGACGCUGAGGCACGAAAGUGUGGGAGUCAAACAGG
rnacentral:rRNA from 1 species